AGCUCCAAUAGCGUAUAUUAAAGUUGUUGCAGUUAAAAAGCUCAUAGUUGAACUUGUGGCCUGAAUGGCUUGGUCUGACGCUUAUGUGUGAGUACCUGAGCCAUCCGACCAUCCUUGGGUGGAACCUGUGUGGCAUUAAGUUGUUGUGUAGGGGAUGCUCAUCCUUUACUGUGAAAAAAUUAGAGUGUUCAAAGCAGGCUGAUGCCUUUGAAUAUAUUACCAUGAAAUAAUGAUAUAGGACUUUGGUACUAUUUUGUUUGUUUGUGCACUAAAGUAAUGAUUAAUAGGGAUAGUUGGGGAUAUUAGUAUUUUUAGGUCAGAAGUGAAAUUCUUGGAUUCUUUAAAGCCUACCUACUGCGAAAGUAUUUAUUAAGGAUGUUUUCA
rnacentral:rRNA from 1 species